UUAGUAAGCUAUGAAAAAGUUUGAGAACCACUGCUCUAAAGCCUUUGAUCGUGUAAAUCAUGAGAAGCUAUUCCUCAAAUUGCACAACAGAAGGGUUCCCAAAUAUCUAGUGAGAAUCUUGGCUUUCUGGUAUGAUCACUAGUCAAUCUAUGUGAAAUGGGGUAACUCUACGUCUGCUCCAUUCAAUGUAAACAAUGGAGUUAGACAGGGAAGCAUUUUAUCUCCAUUUCUUUUUAAUAUUUAUAUGGAUGAUCUAUCAAAACUGCUAAACAAGUGUGGAACAGGCUGUAUGGUUGGGGACACCAUUAUCAACCACCUGAUGUACGCAGAUGAUCUGGUGAUUCUGUCCAGAUAGUGCUGGCCUUCAACAGCUACUAAGGCUCUGCUCCCAAUAUGGCUAUGAUAGUUAGAAGCAGGGAGGACAAUAAGCUGUCAUUUCUUUCUUUCUCUCUGUCUGGUACUGUCCUUAAAGUGUGUGGGAUGAGGUCAAAUACUUAGGACCCUAUAUUCUGAUGAUAUGGACAUUCAUAGACAGUACUGUAUGAUGUAUGCACUAGCUAAUAUGCUGAAUCGCAAAUUUAGUAGGUGUUCAUUGUCUGUAGGGCUUUGACUUUUGCCCAAAAAUCAUAAUCAAAGUUUAUUUGUUUAAUAUUUGAAUAUAUUCUAAUAUUUAUUAAUAAUAUUGUGACCAUUAAAUGCCUUCAGUAAGACCAAUUUUAGUAUAAGACUUAAGUUGUAUAUGUUCUGUCCACCAGAGGGCAGCGUAUCAGUCAAUAGACAGACAGGGAGUCUCCAGAGCGAGUAGUGACUCUAGAGUCCUAGUGAGAGAAACCAAAUGAUGAGUCAUGUCAACACGUAUCUCAGUGAGGAGCUUCUUCAUGUGUUGACCUCGUGGUAAUAAAGUCCUCUGAUAUCUCUGAUCAUUAACAUCCCUUCUGCUGUGUUACACCUGAUGGAGGUCUUUAGAGGUACCAUGACUUUUAUUGUUUGUUAUUGUUUUUCAGACCUGAUGGUGGUAACAGUGGACCCUGGAGAUGAUGUCAUUCUACCAUGUCAGGCUAAUGAUUCCUCCAUCAGAGCUGUAGAGUGGACCAGACCUGACCUGGAGCACCCAGAGUAUGUCCUCUUUUACAGUGAUAGACACCUGGAUCCAACCUGCCAGCAUCCAUCAUUUAACCCUCGUGUUGUCCUGGGGUUAUUCUGACCCCAAAUGAAAUCUUUUGCCGUCAAAAUGUUUUUUAUUCAUCGAAUGGUCUGAAAAUAAUGUCAAACCAGGCGGGGUCCUCUUGACCCCAGAGGACAACAGGUGUAAGACAUCCAGGAGGACAUUAGGAGAGUUAAGGACAGGGUGGAGCUGGUGGACAGAGAUCUGAAGGACGGAAACGUGUCUCUAAUUCUGAAGAAUGUGAGCAUCAACGACAGAGGAACAUAUGAGUGUCGAGUUGCACCAGGUGGUUCAAGACGUAGAAAGAGAGCCAACAUCGACUCUGAGCCAAUCAGAAUCAUCCGUCUGCAGGUUAGAGACCCAGCAGGUUCAAACAGAGGACACUCCGAGGAUAGAAACUCCUCUCCUGUAGUCCUCAUCGUUGGACUGGCAGCAGGUGUUCUGGUUCCUGUAGCUGCUGCAGUGGCUGGUGUCCUGAUGUAUAGAAGACGUAAGAACAAGAGAUCAGGACAACCUGCUGCUGCUGCUGCUGCUGCUGCUGAUGAUGAUGAUGCUGCUGAAGCCAUGGCUCUGACGUCCUCUGGGGUCUCCCAUGACGAGAUGGUCCCAGAGAGACAGAUUUGCUUUGAAUGAACUUUAUCUUUAGAGAAAUAGAAUAUUUACUCAAGUAAAAGUACUGUUGCUAGGGGCGACCUCUAGCUCCCCCAGUAGAGC